AUGAACGCUGGCGGCGUGCCUAAUACAUGCAAGUCGAGCGAACAGACGAGGAGCUUGCUCCUCUGACGUUAGCGGCGGACGGGUGAGUAACACGUGGAUAACCUACCUAUAAGACUGGGAUAACUUCGGGAAACCGGAGCUAAUACCGGAUAAUAUAUUGAACCGCAUGGUUCAAUAGUGAAAGACGGUUUUGCUGUCACUUAUAGAUGGAUCCGCGCCGCAUUAGCUAGUUGGUAAGGUAACGGCUUACCAAGGCGACGAUGCGUAGCCGACCUGAGAGGGGGAUCGGCCACACUGGAACUGAGACACGGUCCAGACUCCUACGGGAGGCAGCAGUAGGGAAUCUUCCGCAAUGGGCGAAAGCCUGACGGAGCAACGCCGCGUGAGUGAUGAAGGUCUUCGAUCGUAAAACUCUGUUAUUAGGGAAGAACAAAUGUGUAAGUAACUAUGCACGUCUUGACGGUACCUAAUCAGAAAGCCACGGCUAACUACGUG
rnacentral:rRNA from 1 species